CUAAGCGCUAUAACAAAGUUAAACUCAGGGAAGUAGGCUUGGCGCUUCGAGGACUGCCCGUUGUGGGUUAAACAGGUCAUUGUUCGUUGGACGAACUGGACAUUCAUACACACUGUAAAAGAAUUCGAAUUUGUUACAUAAGUAUAUGGACAUUGUAUCUACGAACACGUGAGCUGUUGAGUAACCCGAUUAUGACUGAUGCGUGAAGUCUUGUGACAAUGAGUCUCUCGUAUACCUUGUUGAUCUUGAGCUGAAAAUAAACUUUAUGGAACUUCAACUUUGGAGUUUAUAAUUCUGGAUGGAUAAAAGAAGUGCAUUUAUGAUUUACGGGCUGGUUAUGAACAAGAUAUAUCCCAUGUGAAGAUUCCACCUAGAGACAUAUACGUAUAUAUCACACAGCAAGGAGAAAGCGCGUGAUCAUCGUCCAUCGUUAUAUGCAGAUCUGCAAACACCGAUCUAAUAUUUGUGAUCAGGGUAUGUGAGAGGAGCCUAUCUAGGCGGAGAUGUUUGUUCUGGAGAAGGAAAAGUAAACAAAACUGUGUUCUUUUCUGCCCUAGAACACAACUGAUAUCAUGUGUCAAGCAGAUCGGAAAUAAUACCACCACCGACUGGUUUUUCACCAGGUCCCAAACCUCUCACUGCAAGGAGUUACACGUUUAUGCAUAAACGAGAGAAAACUGCGAUCUCAAUGGACAAGGGACAUUCAGAUGAAACCGGUCCCGAUGUCGUCUGCUACGGCAAACCGGAAGUGUUACAUCUUCCCGAUAUCCCACUUCCAUCUGACGAGCGACGAUCUCCUCGGCGGAUUGGCAACAGCUACAUCCAAAAGAACAAAGUGUGUUUCAGGUUGAAAGGAAUUAACCCUAGCCAUGUUUAUUCAGUGAAUAGAAUCAGGCCAAAUGUGUCGACUCCACAUCGCAAUGGAGCAGAAUGCCUGACGGUAAAUUCACAAAAGUCCUCUCUUUUCAUGGGACUAAAUUCCAGUAAUUCUUUAAACCUUGCUUUAGACUCAAUUGCAAAGGCAACUUUACAAGGAACAUUUUCAGAUCAGCUAGAAAGGGAGGUGUAUUUAAAUGGGACUGUCUCACCAGUUAGCAUGGCCCUGGACCUGAAGCUGGAACAGGAUUGCCGCCAUGUUAUCCCUGCUCUUACUCCUAGAAAGAUCCGAGGAGGUAGGAGGCUGGGGCAUGUUGUCUCCUCAAGAAGACUCAAUGAUCUUAUUCAAAAUGACACACGCUUUAAAACAGAGUGUCAGGACUGACCGAAUACAACAGUUUUCAGGCGUAUACUCCUGUCAUUCCUCCGGGAUGGUAUUGUUAUACUGUCAUAUUCUAGACGUAAGUUUGGAAGAAUUCAAAUAUUAUAUGUUUUAGAUAUGUUUCAUGAUUAUUGGAAUAUUCUGUGAAGCCUCGUUAACUCGAACUCGAGAUCGUGUAAUGCUAUGUGUUUAAUGACCUGGCAGAAUGCUUUAACGCACAAUAAACGCAUAUUGGCAAUCCUAUCGAUAUGGAUAUUCGUUGAUACCCAUGACUUCGUGAUUAAGAAAGGACUUACUGUGCAUUAUAUUCUUUAACAUUUUAAUCCUCAUAGCCUCUUUUUAGAGAAGUGCGAUUUUGGAUAUAUGUUGGAAAAGAAAACUCCUGACUUCGAGUUAAAGAUGAUGCACACUGCUUUGAGAAAAAACAUCAUCGCAAAAGAUAAUCUGCUUAUACUGUACAUAGUAUGCUAAAACAAACGCUGUGGAUAUAUUGGAUUUGUGUGGUUCACUGACAAUAUUGACUCAAUGUUGACAAUUUCCCUUGGGAGUAUAUGCAUGGCGUGACUGUGUGUAUUGACCCCGCUCCCGUAUAUGUCAUUACCCAUGGUUUGGCAUCAAAGAAACUGUGUUGUGUUUGAUUACAUGGCGAUAAGACAAAGGGAAAUGGUUUCAUAAAUGUAACAUGUAACCUGUCUGCGUCAGUGUGACCAUGGCAACACGAUGCAUGGCGAGGAUGUGACGUUUUGUUGCUGGGUUAUCCCCUAUAUAUGCAGAGGCUGUUUAAUGGUAUAUUUAAAGAAACACUUUUCUGAUUACAUUGGUGUGACAUAUGUAUCUUUUAUUACAGCGCUCAUUGAUGGUUUUUGUCUCAAAUGCCACGAAAUUCUAUUUUUUCAAGAUACUCUUUAAAUAAAAAUUGUAUUUCUA